GUCUUGAAGAAAUUUGGAGGGAAAAAAUUUUCCCCAGGCCAGAAAAAAAAAAAAAUAUCCCCUGGGUUGUGAGAAGAAAGAGGAGGAGAAGAAAGAGAGACCUGAGGAUGCUGAGAGCAGAUGGAACAUGAGCCCUGCUUCCUGGGGUGUCCCUGGGGAGUUAGGUCCUCAGAGAAUGAUGAGUGAGGACCAUCUUGCAAAAGAUGCCCGGGCCUGGAGCGUGCAGAGAACCUGACGGACCCAGAGGGGUGGUGGGACAGGGAGGACCUUUGAAGACGGAUAUUGGAUGACCCGAUACAUUGCACGAGGAAGCGAGGAGAUCCCCAGAAGGCCCGGAUGGAAGCUCAGGAUCAGAAAUCAACAUGGUCAAAGAGAAUGACAGUUUGGCUUCUUGAACCCCCAAGAUACGGGAGAUGCAAAGUUAACCGAAGCCUGCCGGGGGGUUGGGGACAGAUCAUCAGGAUCGGAUCUGCAUGGCACUCUGAAGGCUUUCCCUGCCGAGUCCUGCCUCCUCCCCCUUUAUCUUUCAUACUUAUCGCUCCCCAACAAACCCCUCUCUCCUAACUCCAACUCUGCAUUUGCUAACUCCUACCUCGGCAUCUGCUUCUUGGAGGACCCAGAUUGACACAGGUGGUGACUGUGGAUGAGAAGCUCUGUGCAUGUUUCUGAGCUUUUAUUUAGUCUUUGAAAAGCUAAGCCUAGAAUUCCUACAUCAAUUAAUGUUCAAUAUACCACCGACUUUGGACUUCAUACAGAGCAUUAAAAUGUUUAUAAGAGUUGUAUGUUUUCUGUGUAGUUUCCUGAAUCAAAUAAUCUUACGUCUUUUUUAAAAAGUACAAAAUUGUAGAAUAGUAUGGAAGAACUCUGAGAAACCGUAGAGAAAACACUACUUAAAUACUGGAGAUGAAAGAGAAUGCAACAUGGAAACCAAACCCUGCGACAACAAAGAUGGAUGGAUGACACUGAAAAAUAGGGGAAUUAUUGGUAACAAGACGACGGUUCUCUAGAAGUCCUGGUUAUGAGUAAUCAAUAAAGUCUGAUUAAUGUGGAAGAACAUAACAGUAAAAAUGCGUUACAGCUGAGCGUCUUGCAGUGCAAGCUCGUGUGAAUUAAGUGCUAAACACAUAAAAUAAAUAUAUGAAACUAGUUGUGUCUGCGGUAACUCACCCCACUGCAGGAGCUUUUAAGAGUUGCUAAUAAAAUAUAAC
rnacentral:lncRNA from 1 species